rnacentral:rRNA from 1 species
UAAAGAGGGUGCGAGCGUUAAUCGGAAUUACUGGGCGUAAGGCGUGCGUAGACGGCUAUCUAAGUCGGGUGUGAAAGCCCCGGGCUCAACCUGGGAAUUGCAUUCGAGACUGAAUAGCUAGGGUACGGUAGAGGGAAGUGGAAUUUCCGGUGUAGCGGUGAAAUGCGUAGAUAUCGGAAGGAACAUCAGUGGCGAAAGCGACUUCCUGGACCAGUACCGACGUUCAGGCACGAAAGCGUGGGGAGCAAACAGG